rnacentral:rRNA from 1 species
AGAUAAUAGAUACCCGGGUAGUCCACGCCGUAAACUAUGCUUGCUAGCUGUUAUCAGUAUCGACCCUGGUAGUAGCGAAAGCUAACGCGUUAAGCAAGCCGCCUGUGGAGUACGAGCGCAAGCUUAAAACAUAAAGGAAUUGACGGGGACCCGCACAAGCGGUGGAGCGUGUUGUUUAAUUCGACGGUAAGCGAAGAACCUUACCCAGGCUUGACAUCCUGCCAAGUUUUCCGAAAGGAAAAUGUGCCUUCGGGCCGCAGUGACAGGUGAUGCAUGGCCGUCGUCAGCUCGUGUCGUGAGAUGUUUUAGG